rnacentral:rRNA from 1 species
GACGAACGCUGGCGGCGUGCUUAACACAUGCAAGUCGAACGGAAAGGCCCUGCUUUUGUGGGGUGCUCGAGUGGCGAACGGGUGAGUAACACGUGAGUAACCUGCCCUUGACUUUGGGAUAACUUCAGGAAACUGGGGCUAAUACCGGAUAGGAGCUCCUGCUGCAUGGUGGGGGUUGGAAAGUUUCGGCGGUUGGGGCUGGACUCGCGGCUUAUCAGCUUGUUGGUGGGGUAGUGGCUUACCAAGGCUUUGACGGGUAGCCGGCCUGAGAGGGUGACCGGCCACAUUGGGACUGGGAUACGGCCCAGACUCCUACGGGAGGCAGCAGUGGGGAAUAUUGCACAAUGGGCGGAAGCCUGAUGCAGCAACGCCGCGUGCGGGAUGACGUCCUUCGGGUUGUAAACCGCUUUCGCCUGUGACGAAGCGUGAGUGACGGUAAUGGGUAAAGAAGCACCGGCUAACUACGUG